rnacentral:rRNA from 1 species
GACAGAGGAUGCAAACGUUGUUCGGAAUCACUGGGCAUAAAGCGCACGUAGGCGGUCUGUUAAGUCAGGUGUGAAAGCCCCCCGGCUCAACCGGGGAAUUGCAUUUGAUACUGGCAGGCUAGAGAACGGUAGGGGUGAGUGGAACUCCAGGUGGAGCGGUGAAAUGCGUAGAUAUCUGGAGGAACACCGGUGGCGAAAGCGGCUCACUGGACCGUCACUGACGCUGAGGUGCGAAAGCGUGGGGAGCAAACAGG